rnacentral:rRNA from 1 species
AGAGUUUGAUCAUGGCUCAGAAUCAACGCUGGCGGCGCGCUUAACACAUGCAAGUCGCACGAGAAAGCGGGAGCAAUCUCGCAAGUAAAGUGGCGUACGGGUGAGUAACACGUGGAUGAUCUGCUUUAGUGGGGAAUAACGCUGGGAAACCGGCGCUAAUACCGCAUAAGCUCGAGAGAGGAAAGCAGCAAUGCGCUGAA